ACUAUAUAUUACAUGGACUGCCAACUCUACGCACUAAGCCUAUAUUUUUCAAUAAACAAGUCCCGUUCACGGAGGCGUCCUUGGUUGCGUGGUAAAUUGACUUCCGGUAGAUUUUUUUUUACGUAUAAAGAAACCAUUCUCGAAGAUUUUUACCACCACUUUUACAGCAAAUCAUGAAUGGAAACUGAAUUGUUAAAGAAGAUGUUACAGAGGAGCAUACUACUUCCAAAAACCUGAUUUGAUUGUCACUAACUUUCAAAUUGAAAGGGAUCUACUACAACUGCUCAUGAAUUUCGAGAUUUUACAGCUAAUAGAGGAACAAAUUUUAUCUACUUCCACUUAGCCAAACAGCAUGGAAAUAUGCUAUUGUAAUGAGUAGAAGAUAUUUGUCAUUUAGAAUAUCAUGCAACAGCUAAUUAUCAGUCCACACAUUUCAAGAUGAGGAAAAGAACAGUAUAAGCUACAUUCAUUGAUGCAUUAUUUAUACAAAAAUGUAUAGUCAACCCAGUCAUCACUCCAUUUUUUUAUGAAGCCAGUUACAGUUACCAUGAAGGGAUGAAAUUUCAGAUAAUAUUCUGUUUAUUUCAUGAAAUGAGAAUAGGCCUACAUCAGAAAUUGAAAUGGUCAUCUUCAGUAUUUAAUGUUUCAUCUAAAAAUGAUAAUUAUAUUAAUACAUAUUUGAUGUACAAACAAAUGAAAACCAUUCAAACACUUUUUUUUUGUGAAGUAUAGAUGAUUAAACUUGUAAGUGUCUGAACAAUA